GGAAAGGUGGCAGAGUGGUUUAUUGCACUGGUUUUGAAAACCAGCGUGGUCUUUACGGCCACCGAGGGUUCGACUCCCUCCCUUUCCG
rnacentral:tRNA from 1 species